AGCCCCGUGGUGUAGUCCGGUCAAGCAUACAGGACUUUGAAUCCUGGGACGCUGGUUCGAAUCCGGCCGGGGCUA
rnacentral:tRNA from 1 species